rnacentral:rRNA from 1 species
AACGAACGCUGGCGGCAGGCCUAACACAUGCCAGUCGAGCGCCCUUUCGGGGGAGCGGCGGACGGGUGAGUAACGCGUGGGAAUAUGCCCUUCUCUACGGAAUAGCCUCGGGAAACUGAGAGUAAUACCGUAUACGCCCUGUGGGGGAAAGAUUAUCGGGGAAGGAUUAGCCCGCGUUGGAUUAGGUAGUUGGUGGGGUAAUGGCCUACCAAGCCGACGAUCCAUAGCUGGUUUGAGAGGAUGAUCAGCCACACUGGGACUGAGACACGGCCCAGACUCCUACGGGAGGCAGCAGUGGGGAAUCUUAGACAAUGGGGGCAACCCUGAUCUAGCCAUGCCGCGUGAGUGAUGAAGGCCUUAGGGUUGUAAAGCUCUUUCAGCUGGGAAGAUAAUGACGGUACCAGCAGAAGAAGCCCCGGCUAACUCCGUG